rnacentral:lncRNA from 1 species
UCGAUUUACGGAAUAUGAAACUCAAGUGAAAGUAAUGUCACAGCGACAUAUGAUAGAUGGGCGAUGGUGUGACUGUAAACUUCCAAAUUCUAAGCAAAGCCCAGACGAGCCUUUGAGAAGCAGAAAGGUGUUUGUUGGACGUUGUACAGAGGACAUGACUGCUGAAGAGCUUCAGCAGUUCUUCUGUCAGUAUGGAGAAGUGGUAGAUGUCUUCAUUCCCAAACCAUUCAGAGCUUUUGCCUUUGUUACCUUUGCAGAUGAUAAGGUUGCCCAGUCUCUUUGUGGAGAGGACUUGAUCAUUAAAGGAAUCAGCGUGCAUAUAUCCAAUGCUGAACCUAAGCAUAAUAGCAAUAGACAGUUAGAAAGAAGUGGAAGAUUUGGUGGUAAUCCAGUACAAUAUGAAGCCUUCAUUUAAUCUCUGCAGUUCAUCUCAUUUCAAAUGUUUAUGGAAGAAGCACUUCAUUGAAAGUAGUGCUGUAAAUAUUCUGCCAUAGGAAUACUUCUGUCUACAUGCUUUCUCAUCCAAGAAUUCGUCAUCACGCUGCACAGGCUGCGUCUUUGACGCCCUGAAUGCAAAGAAUUCAUAGCAGUUAAUUCCCCUUUUUGACCCUUUUGAGAUGGAACUUUCAUAAAGUUUCUUGGCAGUAGUUUAUUUUGCUUCAAAUAAACUUAUUUGAAAAGUUG